CUGAGGUACGCUCGGUGUCGCUUCGGCGCGCCGGUUGCCCGCCCUUAUGUCAUACGUGCCGGAGCCUGCUCCCCCUCUGCCUCCGGGCGGUCUGGGACGGGCGACGGGAACAUCACUUCGGUCGAGGUGUUGCGCUCCCUCACGGGGGCGUGACCGCGGCCGGCCGUAUCUUUACACUCUUUGUGAGAACAUGAAGUCUGAAGAAAAAUGAAAAUAAAGCAA
rnacentral:misc_RNA from 1 species